AAGGAUUCCGAGUAAAAUAAAAUACACCCGUCUUUUAAAAGUUAAUAUGUGUCUUUCUUUAAUCACGUUCAAUAGCAAGUAUCUUUCUAUUGUACAAAAACGACUGUCUGUGUCCGCGGUCCGUUGCAACUACAAAACUACUCUGUCUUCUUCUCGUCCGUUUCUCUUGUAUGUGUUGUGUGUUAUUCAGGGCUGUCAUGGAAUCCAAUUGUUGUCGGAAUUGGAUUUAAAAACGACAAAAAAAUUACUUUGGUGUCAUGAAAUCCAAUGUUAUCGGUUUUAUGUUCGAAUCGGAAUUAGUGUCGAUUUUAGGUGUCACAGAAACCAAUAAUAUCGAUUUUGCUAUCGGAAACAAACCAAGCAGCUAACGGCUGUUGGAUUUCAUUUGUUUAUUAGUUUUCCUUACUUCCAGUUGGAUAUUUUAUAAAAAUAGCCGGGAUAGAGUGCAUCGACGGCUCGAAUUUUCAUGUCACCAUCACACAUCUAAAUAAAAAUGUACAUGCAUAUAUAUAAAUCAAGGCAAUGUACGAGUAAAAUGAAGAUUCAUGAUUACUUACAAUCAGGGCAUUCAUACUGAAUUAUUUUCGAUUAUAAAAUAAAUGUUCGUCAAUACUGGG